GAUGAACGCUGGCGGCGUGCCUAAUACAUGCAAGUCGAGCGAACAGACGAGGAGCUUGCUCCUCUGACGUUAGCGGCGGACGGGUGAGUAACACGUGGAUAACCUACCUAUAAGACUGGGAUAACUUCGGGAAACCGGAGCUAAUACCGGAUAAUAUAUUGAACCGCAUGGUUCAAUAGUGAAAGACGGUUUUGCUGUCACUUAUAGAUGGAUCCGCGCCGCAUUAGCUAGUUGGUAAGGUAACGGCUUACCAAGGCAACGAUGCGUAGCCGACCUGAGAGGGUGAUCGGCCACACGGGAUCUGAGACACGGUCCAGACUCCUACGGGAGGCAGCAGUAGGGAAUCUUCCGCAAUGGGCGAAAGCCUGACGGAGCAACGCCGCGUGAGUGAUGAAGGUCUUCGGAUCGUAAAACUCUGUUAUUAGGGAAGAACAAAUGUGUAAGUAACUAUGCACGUCUUGACGGUACCUAAUCAGAAAGCCACGGCUAACUACGUG
rnacentral:rRNA from 1 species